AGAGAGGAAGAGAAAGAAGAAUUUUAAAAAGCAAUAACCAAAUUAAUAAAAGACAAUUAACUUAGACUCGUAACUGAUGGCUGACAGUUCUCUGUGCUGGUACCAUUCCUCUGUUUGCCAUCGAAUCUCUGAAUCAGUAUAUAUGUGGAUGAAUCCCUCAUACUUUGUAACUCUUGCACUAUCACAUUAAGAAAUUAAUAUGUGUAGGCGAGCAAUAAUUUACUACUUUACUUCAAGCAUUUGUUUAAUGUUCUGAAUGCAUCCCCACUAUUAUGGUCAGAAACUGUAGCACUAAAGAUAAGUAAGACAACAUACUCAAAGGUUUUAACGAUUUGGAAUAAAGAAAUUCUCCUUUAGCCAAAAAUGUAUACUCAAACUUAACUUCAACCUCCCACAAAGUUUAUAUGAUCUAUAACCAGAAUGAGAAUGCUAAUUUAUUUCCACUAGUGAUUAGCGUUAACUAUAGAAAGUUAGUCUACACUACUGUCAUAUCCUCCAAAAUAUCUUAACAUAUGCAGCAGAACUCAACUAUUCUGAAUCCUUAAGGAAAAUGGUGUUUUUAUACAGGGAAAGUACAGGAUCAAAAGUCAGAACACCUAAAUUUGAGUCUAACCUUUAUGCAUCCUUGAGCAAGUCAGCUACCAUUUGAAAGCCUGAGCCAGCCGUCUGUAAACUGUGGAUAGUAUCUAACUCAGAGGAAUUUCGUUAGGAUUAAAUGAAACAAUACAUGCUAAAUCCCUUGGUAAAAAUUAUGUUGAAUAAAUUUUGUUUAACUUAGUACCAACUCGAAAACUUUGCUCUAUAUACUUAGUUCUAUUUCUGAGAUAUCCCAGCAUCUUUCUUACCUUAAUGGAAUCUAGUGCACAAAAUCUGUUUGUUCUUUGAUCCCUGAGAUUUUGCAGUGACUCAGAAUCAUCAACCUGAAAAUCCACCUGAACCAGCUAAUUCUCACCAUAUAGGUGUGGAUGCUGAAAGGCAAAACACUGAGAUAACUCUGUAUGGAGGCCCCAUCAAUCAGGCAGCAGCUGUCUUGUGCCUCGACCUCUCGUGGCAAGCAUCCAAGCACAAAUGCUUGUCAAAUACUUGUUGAAAUGAAAUCUUGAUGAAACCCUUGAUAUAAGUUUGCUUUAUCCUGAGAAUAUACGGACAAAAAUUCUGGCAAACUAGGUUGAAGCUUAUGAAGGCUUAAAUAGUCUAAUAUUAAAUACUAGAUCCUUCCUAAAUCACAGCAUGCCAAAUGAAAGGUAUUAAGGAAAACAGUUGUUUUCAAUUUCAAAAUAAAUUAAAACAACAAAUUUUAAAUACUGAUACUAAGAGUAAUUCCUAAUAAAUGAUAUUUUAAAAUAUAGGAGAAUCUAUUUCUAACUAAACUAAAUCAGUUAACAUUUGUUCAGCAUAUACUGAAAAAAUAACCAGUAAAACUAAUACAUUUUAACAUAACUUUUUAAGAAAAAGUAACUUCUCUAAAACAAAAUAUUUAGUGAGUUACAUUUUUACAAAUCUCUUUGAUUUGUAGUUUAAUAGAACAGAAGUGAAUCCUCAUAUAUGCUGCUGCACUCAAUCUACUGAGGUAUUCUUUCCUUAGAAAAUUCUAGAAAACACAAGUCACAAGCACAUAUUUCAUCAGCUAUCAGUAUGACAUCCAUCACGUGUCACAUAGCGACUGGAAAGCUCCACUACAUACUUGUUAAAAAUGGAAAUAACAUUUUAGUGCUAUAAUAAAAAUAUUUCAGCUCUUACAGACUCCCUGAAAGGGUCUUGGGAACCCCUCUGGGAUCCCUGGAUCACACUUUGAGAACCAGUACCCCAAUUCUGAAUAAUCACAUUGUCACAAACGCCAGUACUGAACUUUAUGUGAGGAAAAAAGAAGCUUUUAUUGUGUUAUUGGAGGAAGAAAAGAAGUGGGCGUCUAUCUGUAUGUGUGAUGAGGGCGAUCAGAGCAGACUCAAGUUUCAUCUUUCGUAAUACAAAGCAAACAGAUGACAUCAAAGAAAAGAAAAGCUGCUCAAAGACUUGAAAGUGGUACCUUUGGAGAACAAAAUUAGGGGUUGUAAAAACGAUUUUUUGUUGUUAAAACUAUUUGAUGUGACGGACAAUCUUGUAGAAAAACACUUCUUGUCUUUGUGGACUCUAAAACCUCUACGAUAACUUCUGUGAUGAAAUAUUGGAAAUAAUAUUUUAGCAGCAAUAAAUUUCAAAGAAAAAAUUAAGGUCAGUUAUUACUGUAAUAGUUUCUAAGGUACUGUCUAAGUUAUUUUAUUAUACACGAAUUUUGCUGCACUGAAUCUAGUUAACUCCCAGGAAUCAGCUGUCUUUUAAUAAUCUAGAAACUCAGUGGAAUAUUUGAGUGCUGACUAUUAUGAGGAUCUGAGUGCUGACUGGGUGACGAGAAGACAAAUUAAUAACCAUUAAGGUCAACCAGGGAAGACUUCAGAUGAUACAAGAUUUGAAUUAGGCUUCGAAGGAAGAGAGGGCAAGGCCUGCUAAGUCAGAGGUGGUGGCAUAUGCAGAGGCACAAAAUGUGGAAUGAAUAAGCCAUGAGCAAGCAAACUACUUCUGAAGUUAGAUCUGAUGUGUAGGCAAAGUUGGGAGAAAUAAAAUCUCCCACAUUUUGAGCAGGGAAAUCAGAUAGGAUUGAGAAAUAACUUUAAAAAGACCACCCGGUUUCUGAAAGAUCUAGUAUUGGGACAGUUAACUCAUCAAUUUCUGUAAGCAACUAUAAUAUUAGCGCUAAAGUUACGGUUCUGGAAAUCUCAUGUGUGGAUAGCUGAAAUCACUGUAGAUGAACCCCCAAAGGAAGAAGUGUGAGGUAAGAAAAUAAAGGCUUAAAAACAGAGGCUCAGCUGACAUUUAAGUUAAAAGCUGGUAAAAAGACCAGAAAAUAAGAGGUCAGAAAGACAGACAAAUUAGAACAGCACCACAAAAGCCAAAGUCAAAAAUAUUUUAAGCGCUAGUCAAUAUUGUAAGAAGAGAGCAGUAUUUAAUGUGGUACUCUUCCUUUCACGUUCAGUAAGCACUGAUGGACCGAUAGCACAAAAACACAGACACGAGAGAUCCUCUAUCUUUUGCUCAGGACUCAGAAAGAAGCAAAGUGACCUCUGGAAAACAGAAACACUGAUUUUCCCAAAGGAUCUCAACACAGAAAGCGUUGGCACCAGUCUAGAAAGCAGGACUUCCUGAGGCAAUACGGGACUUUAAGGACAUUAAGGGCUCUCACCACGCUACUAAAAUUCAGAGAGAUGGAGCUGGACCAAGAUCUUCCCAUCAAAGUUCAAAGCCAGAAGUGAAUCACAAGGGCACAAUCACACGAAUCUGCGCUGUGGAACAUUUUACAAGCCAUCUGGCUGGAUUCCUCAAAAAGUCAACGUGUGAAAGAGUGAAAAAAGUGGGGGGAAUGUUCUAGAUUAAAGAGACUGUUUUAUUAGAUUCAAGACCCUUACCCCCACCCCCAGCUGUAAAGGAUAUUUUCGGGACAAUUGAGAGAAAUGUGAAUAUAAAAUGAAAUGUUAAAUCCUU